rnacentral:rRNA from 1 species
GGUCAAGCAAGUAAGGGCGUACGGUGGAUGCCUUGGCACUGGUAGGCGAUGAAGGUCGUGGCAAGCUGCGAUAAGCCUCGGUGAGGAGCAAGCAUCCUUUGACCCGGGGAUUACCGAAUCGGAGAACCGACUAUGGGUGAACCCAUAGUAUCUGCAGCUGAAUACAUAGGCUGCAGAGGCUAACCAGGGGAAUUGAAACAUCUCAGUACCCUGAGGAAGAGAAAGCAAAAGCGAUUCCCUGAGUAGCGGCGAGCGAAACGGGAACAGCCAAAACCGGUCUUUACGUUACAGCCCAGGAGCGCUGUAGGAUCGGGGUAAUAGGGUGUGGGCGGAACGUUUCCUGGAGCGUUCGGGAAGUUACAAAGUCUUGAUUUAGUUGAAUCCGCUGGAAAGAGAGCCACAGAGGGUGAUAGCCCCGUAAGCGAAAAAUCAAGGCCUUCCUGGUCCACAUUCCUGAGUACCGCGGGACACGAGAAAUCCUGUGGGAAUUCACGAAGACCACUUCGUAAGGCUAAAUACUCACCAGUGACCGAUAGUGUACAAGUACCGUGAGGGAAAGGUGAAAAGAACCCCGUGAGGGGAGUGAAAUAGAACCUGAAACCGUAUGCUUACAAGGUGUGGAAGGGCUAUGGCCCGGCUUGCCGGGAAAAGCCUGACCGCGUGCCUUUUGUAGAAUGAGCCGGCGAGUUACUCUAUAUAGCGAGGUUAAGUGAUCGUAAUCACGGAGCCGGAGCGAAAGCGAGUCUGAACAGGGCGAUUAGUUAUAUGGAGUAGACCCGAAACCGAGUGAUCUAUCCAUGGUCAGGUUGAAGUACCGGUAAAACGGUAUGGAGGACCGAACGGUUGUGUGUUGAAAAACGCUCCGAUGAACUGUGGAUAGGGGCGAAAGACCAAACAAACUCGGCAAUAGCUGGUUCUCCUCGAAAUAUCUUUAGGGAUAGCCUCGUGCGUUUUGUUGCGGAGGUAGGGCACUGACUGGGCUAGGGGGUCUACAAACUUACCAACCCCAUUUAAACUUCGAAUGCCGCAACUUGAGAGCACGGGAGUCAGACUACGGGGGCUAAGCUCCGUGGUCAAAAGGGAAACAGCCCAGACCAACAGCUAAGGUCCCGAAGUAUAUGCUAAGUGAGAAAGGAGGUGGAGUUGCUUAGACAGCCAGGAUGUUGGCUUAGAAGCAGCAAUCAUUCAAAGAGUGCGUAACAGCUCACUGGUCGAGUGACUCCGCGCCAAAAAUGAUUGGGGCUAAGCAUAUCACCGAAGCUUUGGAUCCCGUAAGGGGUGGUAGAGGAGCGUUCUAUGCGGGCUGAAGGCCGACCGUGAGGACGGCUGGACUGCAUGGAAGUGAGAAUGCCGGCAUGAGUAGCGAUAAAACGAGUGAAAAACUCGUUCGCCGAAAGCCUAAGGUUUUCUGGGCAAUGUUAAUCAACUCAGAGUUAGUCGGCCCCUAAGGCGAGGCCGGAAGGCGUAGUCGAUGGGAAGCAGGUUCAUAUUCCUGCACCACCUGGUGGAGGCUAUCGUGAGGGGGUGACGUGGAAAGAUAUGGGCGCAGGGCGUUGGUUGUCCCUGCUCUUAUGCGUAGGCUUGGAGUCCAGGAAAAUCCGGACUCCUUUAAGCCGAGGCUGUAGGGGAGUGACCCGAAAGGGAAGCGAAGGUCCAAAAUCUAAGCUACCAAGAAAAACCUCUAAACGCGAAACCAGGCGACCGUACCAUAAACCGACACAGGUAGGCGCGGAGAGAAUCCUAAGGCGCUCGUGAGAACCCUCGUUAAGGAACUCGGCAAAAUGGUCCCGUAACUUCGGAAGAAGGGACGCCUCAUUAGUGUAACACCCCCGCGGGUGAAGCAUGAAGAGGCCGCAGAGAAACGGGUCAAGCGACUGUUUACCAAAAACACAGGACUCUGCUAAAUCGUAAGAUGAUGUAUAGGGUCUGACACCUGCCCGGUGCCGGAAGGUUAAGAGGAGGGGUUAGGCCCCUCUUGAAGGCGAGGUUGCGUAACCUCGCCUUCAAGAGGGGCCGAAGCUCUGAAUUGAAGCCCCGGUAAACGGCGGCCGUAACUAUGACGGUCCUAAGGUAGCGAAAUUCCUUGUCGGGUAAGUUCCGACCUGCACGAAUGGUGUAACGACUUGAUCACUGUCUCAACGAGGGGCUCGGCGAAAUUGUAAUGUUCGUGAAGAUGCGGACUACCUGCAGAAGGACGGAAAGACCCCGUGAACCUUUACUGUAGCCUGACACUGUAGUUUGGUGCAGUAUGUGUAGGAUAGGUGGGAGACUAUGAGGCCGGGACGCUAGUUUCGGCGGAGUCAACCUUGAAAUACCACCCUUAUUGUAUUGGGCUACUAACCGGCACCCAUUAGCUGGGGCUGGAACACUGUCUGGUGGGCAGUUUGACUGGGGCGGUCGCCUCCUAAAGAGUAACGGAGGCGCCCAAAGGUUCCCUCAGCACGGCCGGAAAUCGUGCGCAGAGUGCAAACGCAUAAGGGAGCUUGACUGUGAGACUUACAAGUCGAUCAGGUACGAAAGUAGGGGUUAGUGAUCCGGUGGUCCCGUGUGGAAGGGCCAUCGCUCAACGGAUAAAAGGUACUCCGGGGAUAACAGGCUUAUAGUGCCCAAGAGUUCAUAUCGACGGCACUGUUUGGCACCUCGAUGUCGGCUCUUCGCAUCCUGGGGCUGGAGAAGGUCCCAAGGGUUCGGCUGUUCGCCGAUUAAAGCGGAACGCGAGCUGGGUUCAGAACGUCGUGAGACAGUUCGGUCCCUAUCCUCUGCAGGCGUUGGAAAUUUGAGGAGAUCUGUCCCUAGUACGAGAGGACCGGGAUGGACGGACCUCUGGUGUACCAGCUGUCGUGCCAACGGCACCGCUGGGUAGCUAUGUCCGGAAUGGAUAACCGCUGAAAGCAUCUAAGCGGGAAGCCAACUCCAAGAUGAGAUUUCCCCUGGCCUUCGGGCCACUGAAGACUCCUCGAAGAUUACGAGGUUGAUAGGCUGGAGGUGUAAGCGCAGUAAUGUGUUCAGCCGACCAGUACUAAUCAGUCGUGAGGCUUGACCAU